GCCAGCUCGUCCUCCGGGAGUGGUGGGGACGACUGUUGGGACGCCUCUGCUAAAGAGGAGGAAGGAAUGGGCAACGGUAGGUCAGCAUGCCCCGAAUUAUCUGGGCUACACGCGGGCUACAAUGGGUGGGACAAUGGGUAUCGACACCGAAAGGUGAAGGCAAUCUCCUAAACCCAUCCGUAGUUCGGAUUGUGGGCUGCAACUCGCCCACAUGAAGCUGGAAUCUGUAGUAAUCGUGUCUCAAAAUGGCACGGUGAAUAUGUCCCUGCUCCUU
rnacentral:rRNA from 1 species